rnacentral:lncRNA from 1 species
GGAGGGAGGGGGAAGGCCGAGAGAAACCCCACCCCAGGCCCAUGAAUGCUGGCAUUGUCCCUUCUUUUCUGAAUCUGAUUUACCAUAUCAUAACCCCCAGGAAGAAGAAAACAUCAAUAUCCCGAAGGAAUGGAGAUGUUUCUAUGGAAAACCUAGGAAUUUUAGUCCAUAACAGAUCUGGUGUUAAAAAAAAAAAAAAUCAAAGAGAUGAAAGGCUGAGCUCCCUGGAGUAUCGAUGCGUCUCUGAAUUAAAGAUGGACGAGGCCGACUACAAAGCAAGCUGAGAAGUCAGGGAUUGUGAUUACGAGGUGUGUCAGUAGAAGAUCAUGGAAAGGAAUAGACCAGUAGCAGUCCCAGAUGAAUGACCUCUUCACGUGCACAAAGAGAAUUCUCUGCCCCAGCAUGCAACGUGUUGUGUGGGUCUGUGUUGGCGGUGGGAGCAGGCUUUGGGGAGAAGCUGUUCUCGCUUGCACAGUGGCCUGUGGGCCUGCUGUCUGGCUUCUUCUGGACACUGAGGCUGGAAAAUUAAAACAGUAAAAUUUUACAAGCCAGAGACUCUCUGCUUCCUCCGGAAAGAAGCCACAAUAAUCAGUCAGGUGGUCUGGACCGUGCGUGGGGAGCCCAGCCUCCAGAGGCCUCAGCCCUUUGCCCCACAAGUCUUCCCCUUCCAGUUCUCCAGAGCUAAGGCCAGCAUAUGAAUAUUACGGAAGUCAAUUAAGUUGUUUGCAAACACACACAGGCCAGUGUGGACCACGGAAGGGGUGAAAGCGGGUUCCCAGGGUGGGAUCAGCAUCUGUACCGGCCUCCAGCAGACCUGGGGUCAGGCCCGACACUAAGUAAACAGUGCCUCGGCUGAGGGUCUCCUUUGUGGCAGCUGCAGCUGUCCAGCUGCCCAUUGUCCUUCUGGGGCUGGAGACUCCAUUGCUGCCCCUGCACCAACUCCGUGCACAAACAGACCAGGGCGGGCUACCCAGACCCCCACCCACCGGGGCCCUGCCUCACCGGGGCCCCAGGCCACCAGGCUUUCUUUUCUGUCUCCCCUCCAGCAGCCCAGCAGCAUCUCCAGGCAUUUUUUUUUCCUCCUUAACUAACAGUGCAGGUGCAAAAAAGUCCAGACUCUGGGGGACGGUGGGAAGAAUGGGGAUAGGAGGAGAACUAUCAUCACAAAACAAAAGAAUAGGAGGUUGAAAAUCACAAUAAAACUGGAAGCAAGAAUGAUCUUGUUAAACA